GACGAACGCUGGCGGCGUGCUUAACACAUGCAAGUCGAACGGAAAGGCCCUGCUUUUGUGGGGUGCUAGAGUGGCGAACGGGUGAGUAACACGCGAGUAACCUGCCCUUGACUUUGGGAUAACUUCAGGAAACUGGGGCUAAUACCGGAUAGGAGCUCCUGCUGCAUGGCGGGGGUUGGAAAGUUUCGGCGGCUGGGGAUGGACUCGUGGCUUAUCAGCUUGUGGGUGGGGUAGUGGCUUACCAAGGCUUUGACGGGUAGCCGGCCUGAGAGGGUGACCGGCCACAGUGGGACUGAGAUACGAGCCAGACUCCUACGGGAGGCAGCAGUGGGGAAUAUUGCACAAUGGGCGGAAGCCUGAUGCAGCAACGCCGCGUGCGGGAUGACGGCCCUCGGGUUGUAAACCGCUUUCGCCUGUGACGAAGCGUGAGUGACGGUAAUGGGUAAAGAAGCACCGGCUAACUACGUG
rnacentral:rRNA from 1 species